rnacentral:rRNA from 1 species
UACGGGGGGAGCAAGCGUUGUUCGGAUUUACUGGGCGUAAAGGGCGCGUAGGCGGCGUGACAAGUCACUUGUGAAAUCUCCGGGCUUAACCCGGAGCGGCCAAGUGAUACUGUUGUGCUAGAGUGCGGAAGGGGCAACUGGAAUUCCCAGUGUAGCGGUGAAAUGCGUAGAUAUCGGGAGGAACACCGGUGGCGAAGGCGGCGACCUGGGUAGAUACUGACGCUGAGGUGCGAAAGCGUGGGGAGCAAACAGG